rnacentral:rRNA from 1 species
UACGUAGGGGGCUAGCGUUGUCCGGAAUCAUUGGGCGUAAAGCGCGUGUAGGCGGCCCGGUAAGUCCGCUGUGAAAGUCGGGGGCUCAACCCUCGAAAGCCGGUGGAUACUGUCGGGCUCGAGUGCGGAAGAGGCGAGUGGAAUUCCUGGUGUAGCGGUGAAAUGCGCAGAUAUCAGGAAGAACACCCGUGGCGAAGGCGGCUCUCUGGGACGGUACUGACGCUGAGACGCGAAAGCGUGGGGAGCGAACAGG